UACGUAGGGUGCAAGCGUUGUCCGGAAUUAUUGGGCGUAAAGAGCUCGUAGGCGGUUUGUCGCGUCUGCUGUGAAAUCCCCGAGCUCAACUCGGGAACUGCGUCCGAUACUGGCAGGCUUGAAUCCGGGAGAGGGAUGCGGAAUUCCAGGUGUAGCGGUGAAAUGCGUAGAUAUCUGGAGGAACACCGGUGGCGAAGGCGGCAUCCUGGACCGGCAUUGACGCUGAGGCGCGAAAGCCAGGGGAGCAAACGGG
rnacentral:rRNA from 1 species